rnacentral:rRNA from 1 species
GGGGGCAACCCUNNUCCANCAAUGCCGCGUGAGUGAAGAAGGCCUUCGGGUUGUAAAGCUNUUUUGUCAGGGAAGAAACGGNNUUCUNUAANANAGNNUNNNAAUGACGGUACCUGAAGAAUAAGCACCGGCUAANUACGUGCCAGCAGCCGCGGUAAUACGUAGGGUGCAAGCGUUAAUCGGAAUUACUGGGCGUAAAGCGUGCGCAGGCGGUUUNGNAAGUCAGNUGUGAAAUCCCCGGGCUCAACCUGGGAAUGGCAUUUGAGACUGNNAGGCUAGAGUGUGUCAGAGGGGGGUAGAAUUCCACGUGUAGCAGUGAAAUGCGUAGAGAUGUGGAGGAAUACCGAUGGCGAAGGCAGCCCCCUGGGAUAACACUGACGCUCAUGCACGAAAGCGUGGGGAGCAAACAGGAUUAGAUACCCUGGUAGUCCACGCCCUAAACGAUGUCUACUAGUUGUCGGGAAUUAAUUGUCUNGGUAACG